GGGGGCGUAAAGGUUUCGACUGGGAUUUUGAACGAAGGUAAGCGAGCGGAAGCGCAUAACUUCCCUAAAAUGUGCAUUUUAAAAUUAAACGCUAACAAUAAUAGCAAUCUCGUAGCUGCCUAAGUGCAGCUUCCGUCAUACCCGAAAGUACCGCGGUUUGGGCUAUGGCGUCACUAAGCGGUGAACGUGCACGAAACUAAGCUUUGCGUUUCGUCAUGCAUUUAUGAAGCUACUUUUCUUAUGGGUUUGUUGAUGCGCCCACAAGAUCGGGAAUGUAAGAAUCAACUGCGCUCGGAGAAAGCUUUCCGGAUGGAUCUUAGGACAGGGGUUCGAUUCCCCUCGCCUCCACCA
rnacentral:tmRNA from 1 species